rnacentral:rRNA from 1 species
UACGGAGGGAGGCUAGCGUUGUUCGGAAUUACUGGGCGUAAAGCGCGCGUAGGCGGCUUUGUAAGUAAGAGGUGAAAGCCCAGAGCUCAACUCUGGAAUUGCCUUUUAGACUGCAUCGCUUGAAUCAUGGAGAGGUCAGUGGAAUUCCGAGUGUAGAGGUGAAAUUCGUAGAUAUUCGGAAGAACACCAGUGGCGAAGGCGGCUGACUGGACAUGUAUUGACGCUGAGGUGCGAAAGCGUGGGGAGCAAACAGG